ACUGGGAAAUUCCAUGGCCUACCUGCUAACUAGCUCUCCCCAAAUUGAUCAAUUUCUGUGGGGGCCCUUUUCUUCAGUCUCUAAUGUGUCACCGGGAAUACCGUUUGGCAACCUCUAUUCCAAAGCUAGAUAUUUCUCUCUGCAUCACUCAAAGUCAUCAAUGCUUUUGCUGGGGAGAGUUGCUUACAACCCUGAAUUGGAUAAGAGAUUUUUAUUAGCACCCAAAUCUCUAGGGACAAUGGAUGAGGGAGAUUUUUCUUAAAAAUAAAUCUACCACCUUAGACAAUGCAUGUGACAUACAUUUCUAUUCCCAAGGUUUUCCCUUUUUCUGGUUGUAGCCGUAAGUGGACUGCCGAAAUAUUUUUUUAUGCUGCAACUACACGGCAAUAUUUGAAGGAAACCACCAUAAACUCUGGGUGUCACCUCUUGAAAUUUAAAAUUCACAAAACAAUUCGUGGCUUUCUAAACAGCACCAUGGAAAAUAAACGAAAAACAAGCAAAACCA